AGAGUUUGAUCCUGGCUCAGAUUGAACGCUGGCGGAAUGCUUUACACAUGCAAGUCGAGCGGCAGCGCGGGGGCAACCCUGGCGGCGAGCGGCGAACGGGUGAGUAACACAUCGGAACGUACCCAGUUGUGGGGGAUAGCCCGGCGAAAGCCGGAUUAAUACCGCAUACGACCUGAGGGUGAAAGGGGGGGAUCGCAAGACCUCUCGCAGUUGGAGCGGCCGAUGGCGGAUUAGCUAGUUGGUGAGGUAAAGGCUCACCAAGGCGACGAUCCGUAGCUGGUCUGAGAGGACGACCAGCCACACUGGAACUGAGACACGGUCCAGACUCCUACGGGAGGCAGCAGUGGGGAAUUUUGGACAAUGGGGGCAACCCUGAUCCAGCCAUUCCGCGUGAGUGAAGAAGGCCUUCGGGUUGUAAAGCUCUUUCGGCAGGAACGAAACGGUGGGGGCUAAUACCUCUBAUCAAUGACGGUACCUGAAGAAGAAGCACCGGCUAACUACGUGCCAGCAGCCGCGGUAAUACGUAGGGUGCGAGCGUUAAUCGGAAUUACUGGGCGUAAAGCGUGCGCAGGCGGUUCUAUAAGACAGAUGUGAAAUCCCCGGGCUUAACCUGGGAACUGCGUUUGUGACUGUAGGACUCGAGUGUGGCAGAGGGGGGUGGAAUUCCACGUGUAGCAGUGAAAUGCGUAGAGAUGUGGAGGAACACCGAUGGCGAAGGCAGCCCCCUGGGUCAACACUGACGCUCAUGCACGAAAGCGUGGGGAGCAAACAGGAUUAGAUACCCUGGUAGUCC
rnacentral:rRNA from 1 species